GACGAACGCGGGCGGCGUGCCUAAUACAUGCAAGUGGGACGCAAGGGAACACACUGUGCUUGCACACCGUGUUUUCUUGAGUCGCGAACGGGUGAGUAACGCGUAGGUAACCUGCCUAUUAGCGGGGGAUAACUAUUGGAAACGAUAGCUAAUACCGCAUAAUAUUAAUUAUUGCAUGAUAAUUGAUUGAAAGAUGCAAGCGCAUCACUAGUAGAUGGACCUGCGUUGUAUUAGCUAGUUGGUAAGGUAAGAGCUUACCAAGGCGACGAUACAUAGCCGACCUGAGAGGGUGAUCGGCCACACUGGGACUGAGACACGGCCCAGACUCCUACGGGAGGCAGCAGUAGGGAAUCUUCGGCAAUGGACGAAAGUCUGACCGAGCAACGCCGCGUGAGUGAAGAAGGUUUUCGGAUCGUAAAGCUCUGUUGUAAGUCAAGAACGUGUGUGAGAGUGGAAAGUUCACACAGUGACG
rnacentral:rRNA from 1 species